AUUGAACGCUGGCGGCAUGCCUUACACAUGCAAGUCGAACGGUAACGGGCCUUCGGGUGCCGACGAGUGGCGAACGGGUGAGUAAUACAUCGGAACGUGCCCGAUCGUGGGGGAUGACGAGGCGAAAGCUUUGCUAAUACCGCAUACGAUCUACGGAUGAAAGCAGGGGACCGCAAGGCCUUGCGCGGACGGAGCGGCCGAUGGCAGAUUAGGUAGUUGGUGGGAUAAAAGCUUACCAAGCCGACGAUCUGUAGCUGGUCUGAGAGGAUGAUCAGCCACACUGGGACUGAGACACGGCCCAGACUCCUACGGGAGGCAGCAGUGGGGAAUUUUGGACAAUGGGCGCAAGCCUGAUCCAGCCAUGCCGCGUGCAGGAUGAAGGCCUUCGGGUUGUAAACUGCUUUUGUACGGAACGAAAAGCCUUCUUUUAAUACAGGAGGGUCAUGACGGUACCGUAAGAAUAAGCGCCGGCUAACUACGUG
rnacentral:rRNA from 1 species